AUAUCCCCUUGUGUGCAAUGUCAGGGUUGAUUUUUCUCUCGAGGAGGAUCAACCCCAAACAUCAACUAUAUCUCAACUCUUUGUCUGAAAAAUAUUAUGAAUAAAACAAUUCAAAAUACAACUUUCAACAACGGAUCUCUUGGCUCUCGCAUCGAUGAAGAACGCAGCGAAAUGCGAUACGUAAUGUGAAUUGCAGAAUUCAGUGAAUCAUCGAAUCCUUGAACGCAUAUUGCGCUCUUUGGUAUUCCGAAGAGCAUGCUUGUUUGAGUAUCAGUAAACACCUCAAAGCCUUUUUUUUUUAUUAAAAAAGAUUUUGGACUUGAGCAAUCCCAACACUUUUUCUUAAAGUGGCGGGUUGCUUGAAAUGCAGGUGCAACUGGACAUUCUCCUGAGCUAAAAGCAUAUUCAUUUAGUCCCGUCAAACGGAUUAUUACUUUUGCUGCAGCUAAUAUAAAGGGAGUUUGACCAUUUUGGCUGACUGAUGCAGGAAUUUCACAAGAGUCUUCAAACCACUCUUGUUAAACUCGAUCUCAAAUCAAGUAAGACUACCCGCUGAACCUAAGCAUAUCAAUAAGCGGAGGAAAAGAAACUAACAAGGAUUCCCCUAGUAACGGCGAGUGAAGCGGGAUGAGCUCAAAUUUAAAAUCUGGCUGGUUUACUAGUCCGAAUUGUAGUUUAUAGAAGCGUUUUCGGUGGCAGCCUGGGUAUAAAUCCUUUGGAAUAGGGUAUCAUAGAGGGUGAGAA
rnacentral:rRNA from 1 species